UCCAGAUGUGGUGGUGACAGCCAGGAUGU
rnacentral:piRNA from 1 species